UCAUUUCUACGUUUGUCCCUUCAUUCAGUCUCUUAAAUGACGGUCUCAAGCAGUAACAGUAGUAAUUGCUGUAAUGACGGUCUCAAGUAGUAACCAGGGCACUCUGCCACAAGUGGCACCUGAACAGGGACUAACAGGGACUAUCAAGAACAAACGGAGACCUGAAGAGACCUGAAGGGAACUGAAGAGGUCUGCAGGGACAAAUAGAGAUAAGUAGGGAUAAAUAGAGAUAAAUAGAGACAAAUAGAGAUAGGUAAGGAAUGACAGGGACUUGCAGGAAGUAACAGGGACCAUAGGGACAGAUAGGGAUAGAUAAAGACUAGCAAAGACUAGCCGAGAUUAGCAAAGACCAGCAAGGACUAGCAGAGACUAGCAAAGACUAGCAGAAACUUGCAGGGACAGGCAGAGACAGAUAGGGACAGAUAGGGUCCUACAGGGACUUGAACGAGGAAGAUCUGCUGGAAAAGAAAAGAACUACAACCAACCAGAUGAACAAGAAACCCUGUUACAAGUCUGCUGGCAGCAACAUAAGGGUAUGCUUGUUUUUGCAGGAAAUGAACAAAAAGUGUGGGUGCCCCCAAGGUGUGUACUACCAUGGAAUGGGAGAUUGGAGGGACACAUGGAUCCCAACCGUGGGCCUGGUUCCCCCAGUAUGAGCUGAAUACGAAGACAGAACAAAC
rnacentral:lncRNA from 10 species